rnacentral:rRNA from 1 species
CCUACGGGCGGCAGCAGUGAGGAAUAUUGGUCAAUGGGCGGGAGCCUGAACCAGCCAAGUCGCGUGAGGGAAGACGGUCCUAUGGAUUGUAAACCUCUUUAGGCGGGGAGCAAAGCCGGGCACGCGUGCCCGGAGGGAGAGUACCCGCAGAAGAAGCAUCGGCUAACUCCGGGCCAGCAGCCGCGGUAAUACGGAGGAUGCGAGCGUUAUCCGGAUUUCUUGGGUUUAAAGGGGGCGUAGGCGGAUUUUUCAGUCAGCGGUAAAAUGUCCGGGCUCAACCCGGGCCGGCCGUUGAGAAUGGGGAUCUUUAGUGGGCGAGCAUUAUGCGGACUGCGUGGUGUAGCGGUGACAUGCAUAGAUAUCACGCAGAACUCCGAUUGCGAAGGCAGCAUACCGGCGCCCGACUGACGCUGAGGCACGAACGCGUGGGGAUCGAACAGGAUUAGAUACCCCUGUAGUC